rnacentral:rRNA from 1 species
CCAAUAGCGUAUAUUAAAGUUGCUGCAGUUAAAAAGCUCGUAGUCGAAUUUCGGGACUAAUAUGUCGGUCGUGCCUCGGUACGUACUGGUAUUUUUGGUUUCUCCCUUCUGACGAACCUUGAUGUCAUUAAUUUGGUGUCUUGGGGAAUCAGGACUGUUACUUUGAAAAAAUUAGAGUGUUUAAAGCAGGCUCACGCUUGAAUACAUUAGCAUGGAAUAAUGAAAUAGGACGUUUGAUUCUAUUUUGUUGGUUUCUAGGAUUGACGUAAUGAUUAAUAGGGAUAGUUGGGGGCAUUAGUAUUCAAUUGUCAGAGGUGAAAUUCUUGGAUUUAUUGAAGACUAACUACUGCGAAAGCAUUUGCCAAGGAUGUUUUCAUUAAUCAAGAACGAAAGUUAGGGGAUCGAAGACGAUCAGAUACCGUCGUAGUCUUAACCAUAAACUAUGCCGACUAGGGAUCGGAUGAUGUUAAUUUUUUAAUGACUCAUUCGGCGCCUUACG